rnacentral:rRNA from 1 species
UACGGAGGGUGCGAGCGUUGUCCGGAAUCACUGGGCGUAAAGGCGCGUAGGCGGCCUGAUAAGUAGGGGGUGAAAUCUUGCGGCUUAACCGCAAGGCUGCCUUCUAAACUGUCGGGCUAGAGCACAGUAGAGGCAGGUGGAAUUCCCGGUGUAGCGGUGGAAUGCGUAGAGAUCGGGAAGAACAUCAGUGGCGAAGGCGGCCUGCUGGGCUGUUGCUGACGCUGA